GAUGAAGAACGCAGCGAAAUGCGAUAAGUAAUGUGAAUUGCAGAAUCCAGUGAAUCAUCGAAUCUUUGAACGCACAUUGCGCCCGCCAGUAUUCUGGCGGGCAUGCCUGUUCGAGCGUCAUUUCAACCAUCAAGCCCCCGGCUUGUGUUGGGGACCUGCGGCUGCCGCAGGCCCUGAAAAGCAGUGGCGGGCUCGCUGUCACACCGAGCGUAGUAGCAUACAUCUCGCUCUGGGCGUGCUGCGGGUUCCGGCCGUUAAACCACCUUCAUAACCCAAGGUUGACCUCGGAUCAGGUAGGAAGACCCGCUGAACUUAAGCAUAUCAAUAAGCGGAGGA
rnacentral:misc_RNA from 1 species